GAUGAACGCUGGCGGCGUGCCUAAUACAUGCAAGUCGAGCGAACAGACGAGGAGCUUGCUCCUCUGACGUUAGCGGCGGACGGGUGAGUAACACGUGGAUAACCUACCUAUAAGACUGGGAUAACUUCGGGAAACCGGAGCUAAUACCGGAUAAUAUAUUGAACCGCAUGGUUCAAUAGUGAAAGACGGUUUUGCUGUCACUUAUAGAUGGAUCCGCGCCGCAUUAGCUAGUUGGUAAGGUAACGGCUUAACAAGGCAACGAUGCGUAGCCGACCUGAGAGGGUGAUCGGCCACACUGGAACUGAGACACGGUCCAGACUCCUACGGGAGGCAGCAGUAGGGAAUCUUCCGCAAUGGGCGAAAGCUUGACGGAGCAACGCCGCGUGAGUGAUGAAGGUCUUCGGAUCGUAAAACUCUGUUAUUAGGGAAGAACAAAUGUGUAAGUAACUAUGCACGUCUUGACGGUACCUAAUCAGAAAGCCACGGCUAACUACGUG
rnacentral:rRNA from 1 species